rnacentral:rRNA from 1 species
CACGUAGGGGGCAAGCGUUGUCCGGAAUUAUUGGGCGUAAAGAGCUCGUAGGCGGCUCGGUAAGUCAGGUGUCAAAUCUUCAGGCUCAACCUGGGGCUCCACCUGAUACUGCUGUGGCUAGAGUCCGGUAGGGGAGCGUGGAAUUCCUGGUGUAGCGGUGAAAUGCGCAGAUAUCAGGAGGAACACCAGCGGCGAAGGCGGCGCUCUGGGCCGGAACUGACGCUGAGGAGCGAAAGCGUGGGUAGCAAACAGG